rnacentral:snoRNA from 1 species
GAAUCAAAAAUGCACGGAAACGAUGCCACAGUUAGCUUUGUCUGUCUUCUAACAGCUGUUAAUUGCCAAUAUUCCAUCUCUUAAUAAUGAUUUGGAAUAUGAGUUUCCCAGAUCAACACAAAUGACUGGAUUUUAGGAAGUUCGCGGUCCGUGAUCCCCUCUGGGACGAUAGACCGGGAAUGUCGAAGAAAGGCUACAAAU